rnacentral:rRNA from 1 species
AUGAGGAGUCGGACCUGCCCAGUGAUGAAUUAAACGGCCGCGGUACUCUGACCGUGCAAAGGUAGCAUAAUCAUUUGCCUUAUAAUUGAAGGCUAGUAUGAAUGGUUUGACAAGAAUAAAACUGUCUCUACUGUAAUUAUAUAGAAUUUUAUUUUUAGGUGAAGAAGCCUAUAUAAAAUUAAAAGACAAGAAGACCCUAUCGAGCUUUAAAGAAAUUAAUAAAAUAUAAAUAUAAUAUAUAAAUUCAUGUUUGUUAAAAAUUUUGGUUGGGGCGACUAAGGAACACAUAAAGCUUCCGAUAAAGAUAGUUACAUACGUGUAUUGAUCCAAAAAUUUUGAUUAAAGAAAUUAGUUACCGUAGGGAUAACAGCAUUAUCUUUUUUGAGAGCUCAUAUCGAAAAAAAGGUUUGUGACCUCGAUGUUGGACCAGAAUAUCCUAAAGAUGCAGAAGUCUUUAACGGUUGGUCUGUUCGACCAUUAAAAUUCUA